CGCCUGUUUAUCAAAAACAUGUCUUUUUGUUAAUUAUUUAAGGUUUGGCCUGCUCCAUGAAUGUAAUUAAAUAGCCGCAGUAUUUUGACUGUGCAAAGGUAGCAUAAUCAUUAGUUUUUUAAUUGAAAGCUGGAAUGAAGGGUCGGAUGAGAAAGUUUCUGUCUCAGUAGUAUUUUCUUUGAAUUUUAUUUUUAAGUUAAAAAGCUUAGAUUUUAUAAAAAGACGAGAAGACCCUAUAGAGUUUAAUAGGUUUAUAAUGUAUUUAUUUGUAGGUAUAAAUUUAAUUACUUUAUAUCUUAUUUGGUUGGGGUGACUUAAGAAUUGAUUAAACUUCUUUAUUUAUUAACAUUGAUUAGUGAAUGGCUGAUCCUAAAUUUUGGAUUAUAAGAAUAAAUUACCUUAGGGAUAACAGCGUAAUUUUUUUAGAGAGUUCUUAUCGAUAAAAAGGAUUGCGACCUCGAUGUUGGAUUAAAGUUAAAUCUUGGUGCAAAAGCUAGGGAUUUA
rnacentral:rRNA from 1 species